rnacentral:rRNA from 1 species
UACGUAGGGUCCGAGCGUUGUCCGGAAUUACUGGGCGUAAAGAGCUCGUAGGUGGUUUGUCGCGUUGUUCGUGAAAACUCACAGCUCAACUGUGGGCGUGCGGGCGAUACGGGCAGACUAGAGUACUGCAGGGGAGACUGGAAUUCCUGGUGUAGCGGUGGAAUGCGCAGAUAUCAGGAGGAACACCGGUGGCGAAGGCGGCCCGCUGGGCAGAGACUGACGCUGAGGCGCGACAGCGUGGGGAGCAAACAGG